AAUCAACGCUGGCGGCGUGCCUAACACAUGCAAGUCGAACGCGAAAGCCCCGCAAGGGGUAAGUAGAGUGGCAAACGGGUGAGUAACACGUGGGUGACCUGCCUUCGAGUGGGGGAUAACGUCCCGAAAGGGACGCUAAUACCGCAUGACAUCCUGCUUUUGAAAAAGCGGAGAUCAAAGCUGGGGAUCGCAAGACCUAGCGCUUGAAGAGGGGCCCGCGCCUGAUUAGCUAGUUGGUGAGGUAACGGCUCACCAAGGCGACGAUCAGUAUCCGGCCUGAGAGGGCGGACGGACACACUGGGACUGAGACACGGCCCAGACUCCUACGGGAGGCAGCAGUGGGGAAUUGUUCGCAAUAGGCGCAAGCCUGACGACGCAACGCCGCGUGGAGGACGAAGAUCUUCGUGUCGUAAACUCCUGUCGAGCGGGACGAACGCUUCGCGGAUGAAUAAUCCGCGGAAUUGACGGUACCGCUAAAGGAAGCCCCGGCUAACUCCGUG
rnacentral:rRNA from 1 species